UAAAAUAUGUGUCGAUAAAGC
ensembl:piRNA 21ur-253 ncRNA